AACGAACGCUGGCGGCAUGCCUAACACGUGCAAGUCGAACGAGACCUUCGGGUCUAGUGGCGCACGGGUGCGUAACGCGUGGGAACCUGCCCUUAGGUUCGGGAUAACUCCCCGAAAGGGGUGCUAAUACCGGAUAAUGUCUUCGGACCAAAGAUUUAUCGCCUUUGGAUGGGCCCGCGUUGGAUUAGCUAGUUGGUAGGGUAAAAGCCUACCAAGGCGACGAUCCAUAGCUGGUCUGAGAGGAUGAUCAGCCACACUGGGACUGAGACACGGCCCAGACUCCUACGGGAGGCAGCAGUGGGGAAUAUUGGACAAUGGGCGAAAGCCUGAUCCAGCAAUGCCGCGUGAGUGAUGAAGGCCUUAGGGUUGUAAAGCUCUUUUACCCGGGAUGAUAAUGACAGUACCGGGAGAAUAAGCUCCGGCUAACUCCGUG
rnacentral:rRNA from 1 species